rnacentral:rRNA from 1 species
CCUACGUGUGGCAGCAGUAGGGAAUUUUCGUCAAUGGGCGCAAGCCUGAACGAGCAAUGCCGCGUGAACGAGGAAGGUCUUCGGAUCGUAAAGUUCUGUUGAAGGGGAAAAAGAGCGGAGAGAGGAAAUGGUCUCCGAUUGAUAUUACCCUUCGAGGAAGUCACGGCUAACUACGUGCCAGCAGCCGCGGUAAUACGUAGGUGGCGAGCGUUAUCCGGAAUGAUUGGGCGUAAAGGGUGCGUAGGCGGCCUGCUAAGUCUGGGGUGAAAGGUACCGGCUCAACCGGUACAGGCUCUGGAAACUGGCGGGCUAGAGAUCAGGAGAGGGCGGUGGAACGCGAUGUGUAGCGGUAAAAUGCGGAGAUAUAUGGAAGAACACCAGUGGCGAAGGCGGCCGCCUGGCCUGUUACUGACGCUGAGGCACGAAAGCGUGGGGAGCAAAUAGGAUUAGAUACCCGGGUAGUC